UCCCUGGUGGCUCAGAUGGUAGAGCAUCUGCCUACAAUGUGGGAAGACCCAGGUUCGAUCCCUGGGUCGGGAA
rnacentral:tRNA from 1 species